GAUGAACGCUGGCGGCGUGCCUAAUACAUGCAAGUCGAGCGAACAGACGAGGAGCUUGCUCCUUUGACGUUAGCGGCGGACGGGUGAGUAACACGUGGAUAACCUACCUAUAAGACUGGGAUAACUUCGGGAAACCGGAGCUAAUACCGGAUAACAUGUUGAACCGCAUGGUUCAACAGUGAAAGACGGUUUUGCUGUCCCUUAUAGAUGGAUCCGCGCCGCAUUAGCUAGUUGGUAAGGUAACGGCUUACCAAGGCAACGAUGCGUAGCCGACCUGAGAGGGUGAUCGGCCACACUGGAACUGAGACACGGUCCAGACUCCUACGGGAGGCAGCAGAAGGGAAUCUGCCGCAAUGGGCGAAAGCCUGACGGAGCAACGCCGCGUGAGUGAAGAAGGUCUUCGGAUCGUAAAACUCUGUUAUUAGGGAAGAACAAAUGUGUAAGUAACUAUGCACGUCUUGACGGUACCUAAUCAGAAAGCCACGGCUAACUACGUG
rnacentral:rRNA from 1 species